rnacentral:rRNA from 1 species
GACGAACGCUGGCGGCGUGCCUAAUACAUGCAAGUCGAACGCAGUGGGGACGGGUGAGUAACACGUGGGUAACCUCCCAUCAGAGGGGAUAACACUUGGAAACUGGUGCUUAACCGAUACUGAUGGAUGGACCCGCGGUGCAUUAGCUAGUGGGGGAGGUAACGGCGCACCAAGGCCACGAUGCAUAGCCGACCUGAGAGGGUGAUCGGCCACACUGGGACUGAGACACGGCCCAGACGCCGACGGGAGGCAGCAGUAGGGAAGCGUCGGCAAUGGACGAAAGUCUGACCGAGCAACGCCGCGUGAGUGAAGAAGGUUGUCGGAUCGUAAAACUCUGUUGUUAGAGAAGCGGUAUCUAACCAGAAAGCCACGGCUAACUACGUGCCAGCCGCCGCGGUAAUAC